AAAGGAUCUAUGCCAGGGCGAGCAAAUGGCGGCCCCCAGAUCAUUUUUAUCUGGCCCUCCAACUGGUUUUUGAUGUUUAAAAACCCUCUCAAUCUGAUAUCAAAGUGCCCUCUGCGCAAAGGUUUAGCGCGUUCAUCAGCGGUGAGUUUAACAACACUCAACUGCAGGUAAAACGGCAUUCAGAGGUGAGUUUGACCAAAGCAACGCUCAACUGCAGGUAAAAGCAUUAAAAUGUGAGUUUAACAACGCUCCAAGGCGCGUGCAAGUAAGCAGUUUAAGCGUUUUAUUACAACCCAUUCUCACUCCUAAAGCGCCAAAAACUGACGCCUCUAGCGUCACUAUGAAGACGCCAAAGGCGCCCCUCGGCGUCGCUAUAUCGACGCACUAGGACCUACAUUGCUUUAAGUGGGAAACUUUUGGCGUCAGUACUCAGACGCGAAGGGCAUGAGAUGUUUAUCGCUAUGAAAUCACGUUCAAGAAGUCUCAUUCAGCGCACAUCGCGAUAUUUGCCAUCAGUUUACAUGUGCCACAGGUUGGCUGAAAAGACAUGAAGGAAGCAGUCAGCCCAGUCGUGUUUGUGGAGAGGUAUUCCUUCAGAAAUGGAGAAGAUAGAAAGCUGCGGAGGCAGACAUUUGCAGCAGUCUACAACAUCGAGCUCAACAGAUCUUUUAAGAGCCAACCCUCACAAACCUUGCUCUCAGCGAAUCUUGCCAUGAUCAGCCCUUUCCAGAAGAGAAGAUCAAGGAAAUUAUUUGUUCAGGAUGAGGAAUGAAGACGGCCAUCUUGUGCCCAAACGAAGACAGAAAGCUGUCCACUGAUGAUCUCAUCAGCCAAAUGAGGGGUUUUGACCAAGUGAUGGUCUUGAAAGGAAUGAAAGAAGAGGAUGUGGUAAAUUGUCUUCAAAGAAAAAGCUUCUCAAAAGGUCUUAAAACAGCUUGAAGAAUGGUCUGGGAACUGUCUGAAAAUGGGAUGUUAGGACUGAGAGAUCCUCUGGCUGAGAAAAAGCUACACCAGAUCAGUGCUGGAUAUCAACCACAAACUGUUUCCAGACACGAGAGAAGAAGAUCAUGAUGGGGAAAUGAAACCAGUUUAGAUGUGAUGAUAAGGAAUCAUUAUUUUCUGAAACAGUAUCACAUGUCUUAUAUGUAUCACAUGAUCUGUAUCACAGUUGCCUGGAUGGGAUUGUGUGACUUUUAAGGACAUUUCAUUACUCAUCUGUGUGAACUGAUUAAUUUAUGAUAUUAAUGAAUUUUUGAUGAUCCAUUAUUAUUUUCCUUGAAUCUUAUUUGUCUUGAUGCUACUUUAUCAACUUUAUAGUCUAUGCUUCAAUAAAAUUAAU